rnacentral:lncRNA from 1 species
GUUUAAAAAGUGAAGGAAGAGAAGGUUGCCGAAGCUCUCUGAGUUCGCCACCGGAGUUACAUCCUGGGGCAAGGGACUUGCUACGAAACUGGACCGUGCUUUCAGUCGGAGUUCUCUCUCUCUCUCUCUCUCUCUCUCUCUCUCUCUCUCUCUCUCUCUCUCUCUCUCUCUCUCUGUCUGUCUCUCUCAAACCUGCCUUUCUCAUCCUUGCAUAGAUGAUAGAAUUCAGAGACUGAGUGAAAUGAUACUACCUGGGGAGAACAACAGAAGAGCUUGGGACUCAAAAGAACGCCAGCCUUGAGGCUGUGAGCUGCCCAGGAGAAUGGGUCCUGGGUAUCUGAUGGGAUUUUGUGGUCAAAGCUGUGCCCAUGGUGGCCCAGUGUGCUGGUAUCUAGAGCCUAGAGCUGUGGAGGUAUGGAAUUCAUCUAGUAAUUGGAUUCAUCUAUCAUUUUGACCUCUCUCCAAACGUGAACUUUACAUGAAUAUAUAGCCAGAUAGUUCACUAGAGGCUUGAACUGUGGAAGUAUGUUUGAUUGUGGGAGGAGAGAGAGUCUUAAGAAGAGGGUGGAGUUGGGUUGGUAUCCCAGUGGGAUGGAGAGGAUGAGAGGUGGCAUGAUUGUUUCAUGGAGAUGGAGGGUACUGAUCUAGGAUGAGAUGAGAAGAUGAAGAACAGGGAGUAGGUGAGAACAUCCUCAGGGGCCCUUGAAAAUGAAACCCUUUUCUUUGUUUGCCCCCAGGAGAGAAUACUCCUGAGGUUCCUAGAGUCCUAGAUUUUGAUUGUCUUAGGAGGGUUAGCCUAGGAAAGAGAUUUCAAGAUGCCUGAGCAACAGAAAUCCAGAAAGACUGAAGCCUGUCAAUCUCCUAGGAGAUUGCAUCUCUAAUUAUAGGUCUAUAUGAGCCUGAUUGCUCAUGUGUAUCACACAUGAUAAGGAUGAUUAUAGUUUGGUAUUCUUAUCAUUAUCAGUAUUAGAGUAAAUUGCUAAAUUGUAACUGUGGAUUUAAUCAUAAGAAAUCAUCCCAGCUAUUAGUUGAUUGACUAACUGAGUAUAGGACCUUUAUAAUACAUAGUCUGUAGCAGUAGUAAACUAGUCAUUUAAAUCCCUGUAGGCAUAUAAUUCUAUGGAAGUGAGUUCUCUCCCUACUUUUAUUACCUUAACCAAUGUAGAGACUUGCUUUUGAGAUGAUUAUACAAAAGACUGCAGAGACUAAGGUGCUCACAGAUAACUGACAAAUUGCCCUUUGAGGACACAGACAUUUCACCAUAAUCACUGAGUCCCCUCAAAAAGAAUAGUGCAUGAGUUAUUGGCCCUAAACGUGGGACCCUUGCUGUUGGAAAGGUCAAUAAAGAAGUCUGUAUCUUCCUCUUUUUCUUUAUA